UACAGAGGGUGCAAGCGUUGUUCGGAAUUAUUGGGCGUAAAGGGCGCGUAGGCGGUGCCACAAGUCACCUGUGAAAUCUCCGGGCUUAACUCGGAGCCUGCAGGCGAAACUGUGGUGCUGGAGUGUGGGAGAGGUGCGUGGAAUUCCCGGUGUAGCGGUGAAAUGACGGCAGAUAUCAAGGAGGGAAACACCCAAAUGGGCGAAAA
rnacentral:rRNA from 1 species